AAAUGGGAAUAUUAACGGCCUACGUAUCACAGGUCUACAAAUAUCUAAAAAUAUCUACAAAUCCACAAAGUCUGCCCAACCGACAUUGCAAAUUUUAUCGUGUCCCAGAAGAAUCUUGCAAUUCCCCGCUGUUCGAAGGAUCCGACCGGAGAGUUAAUCACCACUAUGCCUAAAAUUGAAGUGCCUACACUUGGACACAAAUGUCCAUUCCAUCCAUUUUUCUACCUUCAAAAUGGGAAUAUUAACGGCCUACGUAUCACUACGUAUCAAAAAUAUCUACAAAUCCACAAAGUCUUCCCAACCGACAUUGCAAAUUUUAUCGUGUCCCAGAAGAAUCUUGCAAUUCCCCGCUGUUCGAAGGAUCCGACCGGAGAGUUAAUCACCACUAUGCCUAAAAUUGAAGUGCCUACACUUGGACACAAAUGUCCAUUCCAUCCAUUUUUCAAAAGAAAUUAAUGUUUGCGCCUCAUAAUCUAUAUAUAGUUGGGUUACAUCCUUGAUGUGAAAACAAUUUUUAUAAUCAAUGGUCCAAAUUUCAAGACGAAUUAUGAAUUCCUUUUUUACAAAGUUUCUCAAAAGUUGAAGUAAAAUAUCUUUUCUCAUAGAACAAAGGUAUAUUAUAUGUGAAGAAGACUCGCUUUGAAAAGAGGUGUUUAGAGUGUUCAUUAUUUUAAGAACAUAAACUAAAAAAUUUUAAUAUAUCUUGUUUACUAUUGAUAACACAUUUUGAAUGAAUAUAUAUAUUUUUUCAAUUGCUUUCCACAUUUUGUCUCAAAUUUUUUUUUUUUAUAAAAUAGUGUUGCAGUACCCGUCUGGAAACAGAUUCGAAAGAAUCUGAUUGCCUCCUUGCACUUUUGAAGUAAUUUAAAAUGUCUCUUAACAGCUGUUCCACGUUAUUUCACAAUAACAAUAGAGUCUUCUAGAAAUAAACAAACACAACAAUGUUGACAACUUUGAGCAUGCGAAAACCACUUAAAACACCUAAUAUAAAAGCGUUCGCUCUGAAAUUUGCUAUCGCUAAUUGGAAAUGGCAGCGUACGACGCUUUUCAUUAUUUCAUUUCAUUUCAUUGUUUUAAAUACAGCGUUUAGAUUAAAAUAUAUGUAUUUCAUAGAAAAGUGGCACAAAAAGUAAAAAAAAGC